rnacentral:rRNA from 1 species
GCUGGCGGCACGCCUAACACAUGCAAGUCGAACGAAGUAGUAAUACUUAGUGGCAGACGGGUGAGUAACAUGUGGGUAUCUUCCCUUUGGCCUGGAAUAACACGAGGAAACUUGUGCUAAUACCGGAUAAGUCUUUACGGAGAAAGCUUUAUGCACCAUUGGAUGAGCCCGCACUUGAUUAGUUUGUUGGUAGGGUAAUGGCCUACCAAGACUGUGAUCAAUAGCUGAUUUGAGAGGAUGAUCAGCCACAUUGGGACUGAGACACGGCCCAAACUCCUACGGGAGGCAGCAGUGGGGAAUCUUGCACAAUGGAGGAAACUCUGAUGCAGCGAUGCCGCGUGAGUGAAGAAGGCCUUUGGGUUGUAAAGCUCUUUCGUCGGGGAAGAAAAUGACUGUACCCGAAUAAGAAGGUCCGGCUAACUUCGUGCCAGCAGCCGCGGUAAUACGAAGGGACCUAGCGUAGUUCGGAAUUACUGGGCUUAAAGAGUUCGUAGGUGGUUGAAAAAGUUGGUGGUGAAAUCCCAGAGCUUAACUCUGGAACUGCCAUCAAAACUUUUCAGCUAGAGUUUGAUAGAGGAAAGCAGAAUUUCUAGUGUAGAGGUGAAAUUCGUAGAUAUUAGAAAGAAUACCAAUUGCGAAGGCAGCUUUCUGGAUCAUUACUGACACUGAGGAACGAAAGCAUGGGUAGCGAAGAGGAUUAGAUACCCUCGUAGUCCAUGCCGUAAACGAUGUGUGUUAGACGUUGGAAAUUUAUUUUCAGUGUCGCAGCGAAAGCGAUAAACACACCGCCUGGGGAGUACG